UUGUCCCCCUAACUUGACUCGGAUCUAUUUUUCUGCGUUCCAGCCAGCGGAGGAACACCUGGGCGGAGGAGCGGCGGAUGAACUCUGAGACGUUCGGCAUCCCUCUGAGGCACAACCGAGGACGAGGUGGUUUCCGCGGGCGAGGCUUCAUGGGGCCCCGCGGCGGCAGAGGGCGGCCCCUCAGCCGAGGCUCCUUCGCGCCCCCAAGAGGACCCCCCCCGGGCUUCAGAGGAGCGUUCAGGGGCGGAAGAGGAGGCCGGGAUUUCUCUGACUUCGAAUACAGGAAGGACAACAAAGUGGCUGCGUAGGACCACACCCCAUUUGAAAAAGUGUAUCCCUUCAUCAUGAUUCUGUCGAAAAAUAUUCUUUGGUCUCAACAUUUGACGGAGAGAAUGAAGACAUCCAGUCAGUCACCAGCAGCGAGGUGGACUGCGUUACAUCAGGGGGGGGUGGGGGUGAGAGUGCAGCUCCCUGUUCUCCACUUUGAGAAUUAGGCUUAUCUUUUAGUUUGUAUUACUUUCAGCCCAGACGUAUUGUUUUGAAAGCAGCGGACGGACGACAGCGUGUGAAUACCUUGCUUUGUGUCUGUUUUUGCACCGAUGGGAGUUUCUCACAGUCAUGUGAUUGAUAGCUUUAUUAUUUUUACUUAAUUUUCCCGUCGUGUACGUUGGCACCAAAAUUCACUGCAUUGCCUGUCGCACCGCGGUUUCUUUCUGCCCCGACUUACUUCGUUCGGUCGCCACGAUUUCAGUAUUUUUUUUUUUUUUUUUUUUAAACAUCCAUUAUUUCUAAGUGAAAUCAAAGCCAGCUUAAAAAGAAAAUCUGAAGUGAACAUUGUGAUGAAUGUAUAUCUGAGGCUCAUAUUCUACCCCGGCAAAUUGUGGCUCGCCCUCCAGACUCACUCGGUGUUUUAUUUUAGAAAUGUUCCUUCAGUAUUUAGCGUUUCGUAGAUCAUACUGUGACCCCUCCACCCUCCAGGUGAAUAAUGUCUGCUUCAUGUUAACGGUGGUCCCCAAUCGGUAGGAUCAAUGGGGUCAAGCUUUAGUAAGCAUUCGUAGUCUUUUUUCUUUUGACCGGGUCUGUCUUUUUUUUAUAUGUAUAGUUGACGAAACAAAGCAUUCCCAUGAUUUGUGUCUGUGAAAAGAGGAACAUCCGAUACUAUAAAUGCCUUUAGAAGUUCUUAGGAGACAGAAAUAAUUGCGUUAUUUCAGAUUUAAACCUGCAGAAAGACCUUACAACGAGUCAGAUUUGGGAAGAAAUGCUCCGCUACAUUGCCAAAUAAAGCAUUUAAUUGAGAGAUGAUCAUUAUUAGACUAUACGUCCGAAACGUAUCGAGCCAUCUCUUAAAGCAUGUUCCCUUAUUCCGUUAUCGGCUUCCUUUGAAUUCUCUCUAGAGUCGUGUCACCUGCUGUUAUUCCUCUGCAAAACGGAUCAUUUACUAAAAAUGGGAAACCCUUGUCUGUGAUUUGAACGAUGUCUCGAAACGUAUCUGUUCUGCCGUUCCUUGGUUUUGUUUGUAGCUCCUCUUGUUGCAUUGUUGUGAAUGGCAUUGUUCUCUGGAGUGAUUUCUGUUUUUUACACACUUGUGAACAAAGGGACGUGACCUGGAUGUGGUGCCAGUCGAUUGGGAGGGGGGGGGGAUAUAAUAAUAAUAAUAGUUCUGGCUCUGAUUCGUUAGUACUUUAGGGAGUGCCUUCACAGUGGUGGAUUUUUACAGCUCUCCCUUUAACUUAAAAGUCAACAAACGUAUUGAUAGCACUACAAGGCGAGGCUAGAUCCUUCUCAGUAGCUGUGGUUUGAAACUAAGCAGCCCUGUUUGAAAAUAUUAAAAUGUGCUUUUUGACUGGAUAUAUAUUCCUGCUGAUCACUGCAUGACGGCCGUAGAAACCAUCACUUCACACGGGGCUUUCGCAAUAACCAGCAAGAUUGAAUUUGAGAUAGAAAAAGUAUUAAAAACUGACAUGUUUUCAUAUGUUUGUUACUCCUUCCAGUCACUGGAAUUGUGAACCAGGAAUUGUUUUCAUGAGAAUAUCAGCAAAUUCAGUUUUUACGUAAAAUAAAGAGUUGUACAAUA